CCGAGAUUGCACCACUGCACUCCAGCCUGGACAACAGAGCGAGACGCGAGACUCCGUCCCCCCCCCAAAAAAAAAGUUACGAGAUAAGGAAUACCAAGAAGUGAGGAAAGGAAAGGAGGGGAGCUUGUUAUCUUACCUAAGAUGUUCAGGGAAGACCUCAAUGACAGUUGGUAAAGUAACUUCUGAGCAAAAGCUUACAAGAAAUUAGGAAGCCAGUCAUGCAAAUAUCUAGGGAUGAGCCUUUGAGAAAAGGAAAUAGCAAGUGAAAACAUCCUGAGAUAGAAGGGCCUUGAUGUAUUCAAGGAAGUACAAGGAGAAAAUUAUGAUGAAAUGGAGCAAAACAGGUAAGAGAGAGGGUCAGAGAAGUGAAUGUGGGCCUUGAUGCUGAAGCCAUUGGAGGGUUUUCUGUUGAGGAGGAGUAUGGGAAUGAUAUGAUCUGACUUAUGUUUCAAAAAGUGUACUCUAGCUGCUUUGUGGGAAAUAUAGGAGGGAGAGAGCAGAAUCAAGGAGGCCAUUUAAAAUGCCAUUGCAAAUAUCCAAGAGAGGUGGAAGCUUGGAGCAGGGAAACAGUGGUGGAGGUGGUGAGAUGUGGUUGGAUGCUGGACAUAUUUUGAGCCAAGAGGAUUUUCUGAUAAAUUGCAUUUGGAAAAUAAGAAAAAGCUUAUUCACUCACCACUCUAACAGUCACACCAGUCUAUAAUCCCAGCACUUUGGGAAGCCAAGGCAGGUGGAUCAAUUGAAUCCAGGAGUUCAAGACCAACCUGAGCAACAUAGUGAGACCCCAUCUCUACAAAAAAAAAAACUCUAAAAAUUAGCCAAGCAUGUGGCAUGCACCUGUAGUCCCAGCUACUCAGGAGGCUGAGGUGGGAUGAUCACUUGAGCCUGGGAGGUCAAGGCUGCAAUGAACUGUAAUCAUGCCACUGCACUCCAGACUGGGUGACAGAGCAAGACCCUGUCUGGGAAAAGAAAAAGGCAUGGCG
rnacentral:lncRNA from 1 species